AUGAACGCUAGCUACAGGCUUAACACCUGCCAGUCGCGGGGCAGCAUGGGGGUUGCUUGCAAUCCCCGAUGGCGACCGGCGCACGGGUGAGUAACGCGUAUCCAACCUGCCCUUCACCACGGGAUAACCCGGCGAAAGUCGGACUAAUACCGUAUGUUGUCCAUUGACGGCAUCCGAUUUGGACGAAAGGUUUGGCGGUGAAGGAUGGGGAUGCGUCCGAUUAGCUGGACGGCGGGGUGACGGCCCACCGUGGCGACGAUCGGUAGGGGUUCUGAGAGGAAGGUCCCCCACACUGGAACUGAGACACGGUCCAGACUCCUACGGGAGGCAGCAGUGAGGAAUAUUGGUCAAUGGGCGUAAGCCUGAACCAGCCAAGUAGCGUGCAGGAUGACGGCCCUAUGGGUUGUAAACUGCUUUUAUGCGGGGAUAAAGUGGCCCACGUGUGGGUUUUUGCAGGUACCGCAUGAAUAAGGACCGGCUAAUUCCGUG
rnacentral:rRNA from 1 species